GCGUUGGUGGUGUAAUGGUCAGCAUAGUUGCCUUCC
rnacentral:sRNA from 1 species